rnacentral:rRNA from 1 species
AGCUCCAAUAGCGUAUAUUAAAGUUGUUGCGGUUAAAAAGCUCGUAGUUGGAUUUCUGUUGAGGACGGCCGGUCCGCACUUUGUGCGUGUAUCUGGUUCGGCCUUGGCAUCCUCUUGAAGAACGUAUCUGCGCUUGAUUGCGUGGUGCGGUAUUCAAGACUUUUACUUUGAGGAAAUUAGAGUGUUCACGGCAGGCUUUCGCCUUGAAUAUAUUAGCAUGGAAUAAUAAUAUAGGACCUUGGUUCUAUUUUGUUGGUUUCUAGAACUAGGGUAAUGAUUAAUAGGGAUAAUUGGGGGCACUUGUAUUAACACGUCAGA